UUGAUGGUUGCUCAUUUAUUUGGGUGGUCGUAUAUUGAUGGAUGCAUUUUACUAUUAAAAAAUUAGAAAGUUUCAAUUAAGUUGUAAUUGGAUUUUUGAAUAGUCGAAGAAUGGUAUAAUAGAAUAGGAUUUUGGAAUCAGUUUGGAAUGUUAGAUGAUUCUAGAGUAAUGAUUAAUAGAGAUAGAUGGAGAUAUUUGUAUUUGAUGGCUAGAGGUGAAAUUCUUGGAUUCUUCAAAGACAAACUAACGCGAAAGCAUUUAUCAAGUAUAUGCUCGUUAAUCAAGAACUAAAGUAAAGGGAUCAAAGAUGAUUAGAUACCGUCGUAGUCUUUACUAUAAACUAUGCCGAUUAGGGAUCUAUUUUAUUACGUAUUUUAUGUUAGUUAAAAUGGGAACCUUGUGAGAAAUCAUAAAUGUUUGGGUUCUGGGGGAAGUACGAGACGCAAGAUUGAAACUUAAAGGAAUUGACGGAAGAGCACCACAAGGAGUGGAUUUUGCGGCUCAAUUUGACUCAACACGGGGAAACUUACUAGGGUAGGACACACGAAGGAUUGACAGAUUGAGGGUUCUUUCGAGAUUGUGUGGAAGGUGGUGCAUGGCCGUUUUCAGUUCGUGGUUUGAGUUGGCUGGUUAAUUCCGAUAACGAACGAGAUUUCAUUUCUUAACUAAACCUGUUCUUUACUUGGCUUCGGCCUCGGGAAGGAUGGAAUAAAGGUUUUCUUAAGAAGACGAGAGACAAAAAGUCUUUGGAAGCGUGAAGCUAGAACAGGUCUGUAUGCCCUUAGAUAUCCUAGGAUGCACGCGCGAUACAAUGACUAAGGCAGUGAGUAAAGGAUAGGUGAUCCUUCGGGAGAGCCUAUUGAAUCAUACUUGAGAGGGUAUGAUAAUCUUUUGAAACUUAGUCAAAUUAGGGAUAAAAGAUUGUAAUUAUUCUUUUUGAACGAGGAACUCCUAGUAAUUCUAAGUCAACAGCUUGGGAUGAAUGCGUCCCUGCUUUUUGUACACACCGCCCGU
rnacentral:rRNA from 1 species